GACGAACGCUGGCGGCGUGCUUAACACAUGCCAGUCGAACGGAAAGGCCCUGCUUUUGUGGGGUGCUCGAGUGGCGAACGGGUGAGUAACACGUGAGUAACCUGCCCUUGACUUUGGGAUAACUUCAGGAAACUGGGGCUAAUACCGGAUAGGAGCUCCUGCUGCAUGGUGGGGGUUGGAAAGUUUCGGCGGUUGGGGAUGGACUCGCGGCUUAUCAGCUUGUUGGUGGGGUAGUGGCUUACCAAGGCUUUGACGGGUAGCCGGCCUGAGAGGGUGACCGGCCCCAUUGGGCCUGAGAUACGGCCCAGACUCCUACGGGAGGCAGCGGUGGGGAAUAUUGCACAAUGGGCGGAAGCCUGAUGCAGCAACGCCGCGUGCGGGAUGACGGCCUUCGGGUUGUAAACCGCUUUCGCCUGUGACGAAGCGUGAGUGACGGUAAUGGGUAAAGAAGCACCGGCUAACUACGUG
rnacentral:rRNA from 1 species